AUAGUGAAAACGGGGAGCUGGAGUAAAUCCGGCUGAGAGUAAGACUGAGAUCGUCUUAGACUCGCAACCUGAUCCGGAUAAUACCGGCGUAGGCUCAUAUAAAAAUGG
rnacentral:ncRNA from 1 species